rnacentral:lncRNA from 1 species
AAAGGACUAAACCAUCUGCUCAUGAUCUCUUAUUGAUUUAAUGCGGUGAUGUUCUUAUUUAGACAACAUCAGAAUGGUUAUAUAGAUGGACAGCUUAUUAUCAGCUUUAAGUGAAGAAACAGAACACAAGAAUGGCUGCUGAGAAAAAGGAAAGGAUGCAAGGGAGGACACUGCACCUCUGCGUGCUUCUCUCCAGCCUCCACUGGUGCUGUGUUUGUCCUGACGUAGCCUGGCACAGUGAGGUGCUGCGCUGGCUUGACGUGAGUUGCUCUUGUGGGGUGAUCUGGUAGAGAUAUGGGUAAGGGCUGCAUAACUUUUGCACUCAUAUCUUGAGGCACAGUAAUUAAAUGACUUUUGUGAAUGGAUGCCAGCAAGAACUGUGUGUACAGAGGGAGCAGGUGGCAGAGGAUAAAGGGUCUUCUGUGGAUCAGGAGACCUGCGUUUGAACCUUGAGGCCUUCACAGGGCAAGCACAGCCCACCUCACUGUAAAGGGGCAGGAGCUGUCAGAGGGGGGGAUGCUGGCUGCUCAGUGCAAG